rnacentral:rRNA from 1 species
UACGUAGGGUCCGAGCGUUGUCCGGAAUUACUGGGCGUAAAGAGCUCGUAGGUGGUUUGUCGCGUUGUUCGUGAAAACUCACAGCUCAACUAUGGGCGUACGGGCGAUACGGGCAGACUAGAGUACUGCAGGGGAGACUGGAAUUCCUGGUGUAGCGGUGGAAUGCGCAGAUAUCAGGAGGAACACCGUGCGAAGGCGGGUCUCUGGGCAUAACUGACGCUGAGGAAGCGAAAGCUGGGGAGCAAACAGG